CAGACUUAUGGCAAUAAAAUAAACUAUAGUUCGUGUUCUGCAUAUAGUGAAACUAGAAAUUAAGACAGUUCUAUUGAAAUAUCACAGAUGACAUAAAACAGCACCACUUACUUGAUGAUAGCAGGGU